rnacentral:sRNA from 1 species
GACUAACCCAAGGUUGACUCCGUGUACCUCCUCCUGCAAGACUGGCCAACCCCUGACAAGCAGCAACCUCGCUAACAAUUAUUAUCCCGUGAGUUCAUACGAGUAGAGGUGGGGAAACUGCAAAAGCAAGGGGAAUUGAAUACUCUGUUGAAAGAAAGUGCUGAUUGAUGAUGGAUUCCACGCAAGUGUGCCAUCCGCGCGAAUGGAACCCGAGAUCAACCAAUAUAGCUGAUACAUAUGUGUGUCAUAGCCGGACGGGACAUACUUCUAUUUCAUGAGCGGCCUCUGAAUUGCAGCGCAGACACAUAUACAAGCAACUGAGUAUAUUAUUUAUCUACCAAACCAAGAAACUUCAAACUCGGGGGGAACAUCGAUAAAAGAUUCGUGAAAAUAAAGCGGUGUGCCUAGUAUUUAAACUACUAGAACUCGCGUCCAAAGAUCAAUCAGGAAAACUCCUCAACGGAGGGCAUCAUAUCAUCAAAACCUAUCCUUCUCUAUUCGAUACACGCGAUCCAUAUUAUCCUCAAUUCUACCAUUCCAAGCAUCACCCGAUUGGACGUUCAAGACCUGUUUUACGAAUGGGAAUCCGAUCAAUUUUUUCAAGUCAACAAAAACUGCCCUCCAGAGGCUGUGCCAGCGCUAAAGCCAGAUCUUGUGAAACCAGAGUUUGUUGUGUUUUGAAGGCUGUGGAAGCAGGAUAUCGUGGAGGAAUUUCGGGGGAAGGAAAGAGCAGAGAAUAGUGGUGGAUGGGAGUUUUAAGAAACAGAAUUGAAUUGCGUGGAAUAAGAAACUAUAUGCUUUGAAAGGAGCCAAUUCCGAUGGAUGGGAUAACUAGGCAAGAUUUGUAUGUACUAGGGUUGUCCCGGGUGCUUUUGCCUUUAUUAUAACUCGUCAUCUUUCACAUCCAUAGGUACAUACAGUACUCUGUACAAUCAAUCUACCUCUCCAGUAAGCUCUCUCUUGGACGCGUUUUGCUAUGAAGAGACAGAGAAUUAAAAUAUGGAAUACUCGGUUAAGUAUGGCAAAUGACGUGCGGGAUUACUCAACCGUUGUUUAUGGCUGAUACUUCCCCCACGCUGCGCCGGGGAUUCGUCGCGGUAAUAGAACA